UACAGAGGUCCCAAGCGUUGUUCGGAUUCACUGGGCGUAAAGGGUGCGUAGGCGGUCGGGUAAGUCUGAUGUGAAAUCUCACAGCUUAACUGUGAAACUGCAUUGGAUACUAUCCGGCCUGAGAGUUGGAGGGGGGACUGGAAUUCUUGGUGUAGCAGUGAAAUGCGUAGAUAUCAAGAGGAACACCAGUGGCGAAGGCGAGUCCCUGGACAACUUCUGACGCUGAGGCACGAAAGCUAGGGGAGCAAACAGG
rnacentral:rRNA from 1 species